rnacentral:lncRNA from 1 species
GUGGAGCUUCUACUGUGUCAAUACAUCAAUACUAUAGUAUUGUCUCAUAGUCAGUUCAUUGUUUUAAUGUACUGUCUGUCUCAUCCCUUUACAGUCUGUCUCAUCCCUGUACAGUCUUCUUCAUCCCUGUACAGUCUGUCUCAUCCCUGUACAGUCUGUCUCAUCCCUAUACAGUCUGUCUCAUCCCUGUACAGUCUGUCUCAUCCCUGUACAGUCUGUCUCAUCCCUGUACAGUCUGUCUCAUCCCUGUACAGUCUGUCUCAUCCCUGUACAGUCUGUCUCAUCCCUGUACAGUCUGUCUCAUCCCUAUACAGUCUGUCUCAUCCCUGUACAGUCUGUCUCAUCCCUGUAAGUGUAGUGGAGUGUAUUUAAUAGCCCAUAGGAGUCCCCCCCCCCUCUCUCUCUCUCUCUCUCGCUCUCUCUCUCUCUCUGGUCUUCCUCCCCUCUCACUAUAUAUCUCUCUCUCUC